AGAGUACUCCCUCCGUCCCAAAAUUCUCGUCUUAGAUUUGUUUAGAUGAAUGUAUCUAGUCAAGUUUUAGUAUUUAGAUAAAUCCAUUUCUAGACAAAGUUAAGACAAGAAUUUUGGGACGGAGGGAGUAACAU
rnacentral:pre_miRNA from 1 species